rnacentral:rRNA from 1 species
UACGGGGGGAGCAAGCGUUGUUCGGAUUUACUGGGCGUAAAGGCUCGUAGGCGGCCAACUAAGUCAUACGUGAAAUCCCUCAGCUUAACUGGGGAACUGCGUGUGAUACUGGAUGGCUUGGAUUUGGGAGAGGGAUGCGGAAUUCCAGGUGUAGCGGUGAAAUGCGUAGAUAUCUGGAGGAACACCGGUGGCGAAGGCGGCAUCCUGGACCAAUAUUGACGCUGAGGAGCGAAAGCCAGGGGAGCAAACGGG